CCUACGGGAGGCAGCAGUGAGGAAUAUUGGUCAAUGGGCGCUAGACUGAACCAGCCAAGUAGCGUGAAGGAUGACUGCCCUAUGGGUUGUAAACUUCUUUUAUAUGGGAAUAAAGUGCAGUAUGUAUACUGCUUUGCAUGUACCUUAUGAAUAAGGAUCGGCUAACUCCGUGCCAGCAGCCGCGGUAAUACGGAGGAUCCGAGCGUUAUCCGGAUUUAUUGGGUUUAAAGGGAGCGUAGGCGGGUUGUUAAGCCAGUUGUGAAAGUUUGCGGCUCAACCGUAAAAUUGCAGUGGAUACUGGCAUCCUUGAGUACAGGAGAGGUAGGCGGAAUUCGUGGUGUAGCGGUGAAAUGCUUAGAUAUCACGAAGAACUCCGAUUGCGAAGGCAGCCUGCUGGACUGUAACUGACGCUGAUGCUCGAAGGUGUGGGUAUCGAACAGGAUUAGAUACCCCUGUAGUC
rnacentral:rRNA from 1 species